rnacentral:rRNA from 1 species
ACUCAAAUGAAUUGACGGGGGCCCGCACAAGCGGUGGAUCAUGUGGUUUAAUUCGAAGCAACGCGAAAAACCUUACCUGGAUUUGACAUCCUCUGACAGCCGUAGAGAUACGGUCUUGGUAGCAAUACCACAGAGAGACAGGUGCUGCAUGGCUGUCGUCAGCUCGUGUGGUGACAUGUUGGGUUAAGUCCCGCAACGAGCGCAACCCCUGUCCUUAGUUGCCAGCAUUAAGUUGGGCUCUCUAAGGAGACUGCCGUGGUGAACACGGAGGAAGGUGGGGAUGACGUCAAGUCCUCAUGGCCUUUAUAUCCAGGGCGACACACGUGAUACAAUGGACGGUACAGAGGGACGCCAAGAGGCAACUCGGAGCUAAUCUCAAAAAGCCGUUCUCAGUUCGGAUUGGAGUCUGCAACUCGACUCCAUGAAGUUGGAAUCGCUAGUAAUCGCGGAUCAGCACGCCGCGGUGAAUACGUUCCCGGGCCUUGUACACACCGCCCGU